rnacentral:rRNA from 1 species
GAUGAACGCUGGCGGCGUGCUUAACACAUGCAAGUCGAACGGAAAGGCCCAAGCUUGCUUGGGUACUCGAGUGGCGAACGGGUGAGUAACACGUGGGUGAUCUGCCCUGCACUUCGGGAUAAGCCUGGGAAACUGGGUCUAAUACCGGAUAGGACGAUGGUUUGGAUGCCAUUGUGGAAAGUUUUUUCGGUGUGGGAUGAGCUCGCGGCCUAUCAGCUUGUUGGUGGGGUAAUGGCCUACCAAGGCGUCGACGGGGAGCCGGCCUGCGAGGGUGUACGGACACAUUGGGCUUGAGAUACGGGCCGGAGUCCUACGGGAGGGAGAAGUGGGGAAUGUUGGACACUGGGAGCAAGCGUGAUGGAGCGAGGCCGCGUGGUGGAUGACGGCCUUUGGGUUGUAAAAUCAUUUCGAUAGGAACGAAGCGUUUUUGUGACGGUACCUGGAGAAGAAGCACCGGCUAACUACGUG